rnacentral:rRNA from 1 species
AACAGGAUUAGAUACCCUGGUAGUCCAUGCCGUAAACGUUGGGCACUAGGUGUGGGGGACAUUCCACGUUUUCCGCGCCGUAGCUAACGCAUUAAGUGCCCCGCCUGGGGAGUACGGCCGCAAGGCUAAAACUCAAAGGAAUUGACGGGGGCCCGCACAAGCGGCGGAGCAUGCGGAUUAAUUCGAUGCAACGCGAAGAACCUUACCAAGGCUUGACAUAUACUGGACCGCCUCAGAGAUGGGAUUUCCCUUCGGGGCUGGUAUACAGGUGGUGCAUGGUUGUCGUCAGCUCGUGUCGUGAGAUGUUGGGUUAAGUCCCGCAACGAGCGCAACCCUCGUUCUAUGUUGCCAGCACGUUAUGGUGGGGACUCAUAGGAGACUGCCGGGGUCAACUCGGAGGAAGGUGGGGAUGACGUCAAAUCAUCAUGCCCCUUAUGUCUUGGGCUUCACGCAUGCUACAAUGGCCGGUACAAAGGGUUGCGAUACUGUGAGGUUGAGCUAAUCCCAAAAAGCCGGUCUCAGUUCGGAUUGGGGUCUGCAACUCGACCCCAUGAAGUCGGAGUCGCUAGUAAUCGCAGAUCAGCAACGCUGCGGUGAAUACGUUCCCGGGCCUUGUACACACCGCCCGUCAAGUCACGAAAGUUGGUAACACCCGAAGCCGAUGGCCUAACCCUUUUGGGAGGGAGUCGUCGAAGGUGGGAUUGGCGAUUGGGACUAAGUCGUAACAAGGUAACC